UACGUAGGGGGCAAGCGUUGUCCGGAAUCAUUGGGCGUAAAGCGCGCGUAGGCGGCCCGGUAAGUCCGCUCUGAAAGUCCAGGGCUUAACCCUGGAAAGCGGGUGGAUACUGCCGGGCUUGAAUCCGGAAGAGGCGAGUGGAAUUCCUGGUGUAGCGGUGAAAUGCGUAGAUAUCGAGAGGAACACCUGCGGCGAAGGCGGGUUGCUGGGCUGACACUGACGCUGAUGCGCGAAAGCCAGGGGAGCGAGCGGG
rnacentral:rRNA from 1 species